CCUACGGGUGGCAGCAGUGGGGAAUAUUGCACAAUGGGGGAAACCCUGAUGCAGCGACGCCGCGUGAGCGAUGAAGUAUUUCGGUAUGUAAAGCUCUAUCAGCAGGGAAGAAAAUGACGGUACCUGACUAAGAAGCCCCGGCUAACUACGUGCCAGCAGCCGCGGUAAUACGUAGGGGGCAAGCGUUAUCCGGAUUUACUGGGUGUAAAGGGAGCGUAGACGGCUUGGCAAGCCAGAUGUGAAAGGCUGGGGCGCAACCCCAGGACUGCAUUUGGAACUGUCAUGCUAGAGUGUCGGAGAGGCAGGCGGAAUUCCUAGUGUAGCGGUGAAAUGCGUAGAUAUUAGGAGGAACACCAGUGGCGAAGGCGGCAUGCUGGACGAUGACUGACGUUGAGGCUCGAAAGCGUGGGGAGCAAACAGGAUUAGAUACCCGGGUAGUC
rnacentral:rRNA from 1 species